GAUGAACGCUGGCGGCGUGCCUAAUACAUGCAAGUCGAGCGAACGGACGAGAAGCUUGCUUCUCUGAUGUUAGCGGCGGACGGGUGAGUAACACGUGGAUAACCUACCUAUAAGCCUGGGGAAAAUCGGGGAAACCGGACGCAAAUCCGGAAAAAAUUUUAAUCUCAUGGGUCAAAAAGUUAAAAGGGGCUUUGGCGUCACUUAGAGAUGGAUCCGCGCUGCAUUAGUUAGUUGGUAAGGUAACGGCUUACCAAGGCAACGAUGCAUAGCCGACCUGAGAGGGUGAUCGGCCACACUGGAACUGAGACACGGUCCAGACUCCUACGGGAGGCAGCAGUAGGGAAUCUUCCGCAAUGGGCGAAAGCCUGACGGAGCAACGCCGCGUGAGUGAUGAAGGUCUUCGGAUCGUAAAACUCUGUUAUUAGGGAAGAACAUAUGUGUAAGUAAAUGUGCACAUCUUGACGGUACCUAAUCAGAAAGCCACGGCUAAAUACGUG
rnacentral:rRNA from 1 species